rnacentral:misc_RNA from 1 species
GAUGAAGAACGUAGCAAAAUGCGAUAAGUAAUGUGAAUUGCAGAAUUCAGUGAAUCAUCGAAUCUUUGAACGCACAUUGCGCCCGCCAGUACUCUGGCGGGCAUGCCUGUUCGAGCGUCAUUACAACCCUCAGGCCCCCGGGCCUGGCGUUGGGGAUCGGCGGAAGCCCCCUGCGGGCACAACGCCGUCCCCCAAAUACAGUGGCGGUCCCGCCGCAGCUUCCAUUGCGUAGUAGCUAACACCUCGCAACUGGAGAGCGGCGCGGCCACGCCGUAAAACACCCAACUUCUGAAUGUUGACCUCGAAUCAGGUAGGAAUACCCGCUGAACUUAAGCAUAUCAAUAAGCGGAGGA